AAAGAAAUGCCAAUAAACCAGAGCACGUUUUUCUCCCAUCCCAGAAUGCUGUCUGGCUAUGCGAGACUAAACUUGAUGAAUUAUUCAUAAUGUUGUCUGAGCUGGUGAUCUCUACACUGCUUUAAUGAAGGACACUUCACAGCAUAGUAUCAUUAUUAUGUUGUUCACAUAAUGCAGUAUCUCAUGGUCAAACUGUGAUACUGCAGUACUGUACUGCAUAACUAACAACUCUUACCUGCAGAUGGAGUUGUGGCAGGCUGCAAGUAUCCAUGGAACGCUUCUGUUUUGUUAAUGCACACAUGAUGGAAGUUAGAAGCAGUUUAUUUAUUAAUCGGUUGCUGCUAUUCAGCAAGUAUUUGUGUCACAAAAUGGCUUUUCUAUCAACAAUCCUUCAUAUUGAUCAUUGUUUUCUAAAUGAAUGUAUCUUUUCCUAAA